rnacentral:rRNA from 1 species
GUAACAGGUCUUCGGAUGCUGACGAGUGGCGAACGGGUGAGUAAUACAUCGGAACGUGCCCGAUCGUGGGGGAUAACGCAGCGAAAGCUGUGCUAAUACCGCAUACGAUCUACGGAUGAAAGCGGGGGAUCGCAAGACCUCGCGCGGACGGAGCGGCCGAUGGCAGAUUAGGUAGUUGGUGGGAUAAAAGCUUACCAAGCCGACGAUCUGUAGCUGGUCUGAGAGGACGACCAGCCACACUGGGACUGAGACACGGCCCAGACUCCUACGGGAGGCAGCAGUGGGGAAUUUUGGACAAUGGGCGCAAGCCUGAUCCAGCCAUGCCGCGUGCAGGAUGAAGGCCUUCGGGUUGUAAACUGCUUUUGUACGGAACGAAAAAGUUCUCUCUAAUACAGGGGGCGAAUGACGGUACCGAAAGAAUAAGCACCGGCUAACUACGUGCCAGCAGCCGCGGUAAUACGUAGGGUGCGAGCGUUAAUCGGAAUUACUGGGCGUAAAGCGUGCGCAGGCGGUUAUAUAAGACAGAUGUGAAAUCCCCGGGCUCAACCUGGGAACUGCAUUAGUGACUGUAUAGCUAGAGUGCGGCAGAGGGGGAUGGAAUUCCCGCGUGUAGCAGUGAAAUGCGUAGAUAUGCGGAGGAACACCGAUGGCGAAGGCAAUCCCCUGGGCCUGCACUGACGCUCAUGCACGAAAGCGUGGGGAGCAAACAGGAUUAGAUACCCUGGUAGUCCACGCCCUAAACGAUGUCAACUGGUUGUUGGGUCUUCACUGACUCAGUAACGAAGCUAACGCGUGAAGUUGACCGCCUGGGGAGUACGGCCGC